rnacentral:rRNA from 1 species
UACAGAGGGUGCGAGCGUUAAUCGGAAUUACUGGGCGUAAAGCGCGCGUAGGUGGAUGACUAAGUCAGCUGUGAAAGCCCUGGGCUUAACCUGGGAACGGCAGUUGAUACUAUUUAUCUAGAGUAGGGUAGAGGGAAGUGGAAUUUCCGGUGUAGCGGUGAAAUGCGUAGAUAUCGGAAGGAACACCAGUGGCGAAGGCGGCUUCCUGGACUCAUACUGACACUGAGGCGCGAAAGCGUGGGUAGCAAAC